GAGCCUACGGGGCGCAGCAGUGGGGAAUAUUGCACAAUGGGCGAAAGCCUGAUGCAGCAACGCCGCGUGAAGGAAGACGGUUUUCGGAUUGUAAACUUCUAUCAAUAGGGAAGAAAGAAAUGACGGUACCUAAAUAAGAAGCCCCGGCUAACUACGUGCCAGCAGCCGCGGUAAUACGUAGGGGGCAAGCGUUAUCCGGAAUUACUGGGUGUAAAGGGAGUGCAGGCGGCUUGGCAAGUCUGAUGUGAAAGGCUGGGGCUCAACCCCAGGACUGCAUUGGAAACUGUUAGGCUGGAGUGUCGGAG
rnacentral:rRNA from 1 species